UACAGAGGGUGCAAGCGUUGUUCGGAAUUAUUGGGCGUAAAGAGCGUGUAGGCGGCCAGGUAGGUCAGCUGUGAAAACUCGAGGCUCAACCUCGAGACGCCGGUUGAAACCAUCUGGCUAGAGUCCGGAAGAGGAGAGUGGAAUUCCUGGUGUAGCGGUGAAAUGCGCAGAUAUCAGGAAGAACACCCGUGGCUAAGGCGGCUCUCUAGUACGGUACUGACGCUGAGACGCGAAAGCGUGGGGAGCGAACAGG
rnacentral:rRNA from 1 species